UAAAAUUUGAAUUGUCAGUGCGGUACGUUAUGGACCGCUUUAAGCAUUCAUACUUUGGAUCAAGAAGUACUCAAGGUGGAGUUGACCAACUUACCCGGCCAAUCAUGCCCUGCGGUAGCUCUCGACUCAAUAAUUUCACCAUCCAUGGUGAUGACAAAGUCGCGCGAAAGACCAUAAAAGAAUUUACGACUCUAAAGUAAAUACCACGAAAACCAUUCGUAAAUUCCAACCCCAAUAGUUAUCAAGAUGGCUAAAGUCGCCUCAGACUUUCGUUUUUCUCGAGAUUUUUUCUCGCGGCUUACUCAAGCUAUUUUACUGAAUAUUGAACGACCAACGCAGCCAGUAAGUGUAAACUAUGGGUUCGGUCUGAGACACCGUCGUAAUCGGAUGUUUACUAAUCGUUCGGGUUUGCGAGUAUUUUCCUCACUGGCAGAGGCGCUGUGGCUUGUGUACGUGUAGAAUAUCUUGCGUCUAUAAGUGUAGUUCUUAAGCUUGCAAUAGUCAAAUCUCGAGUGUUCAGGGGAUGCUUCUAGCACCAAAGACAUUCGCGUUAAAAAAAUGCUUAACAACCAAACCCAACAACAGUAAUCUCCAACCCGAUCUUCGUAUGCUCAUAAAGUCCAGCAAAUACAAGUGCUAACUACGGGACAGGAUAUCAUUAUAUUGACGCGGUGGAAGGCAUCGCCGUUCAAGAAUUAUGCCUUGGCUGUUGGAAAAUUGACAGAACCCGCUAACAUUCAUUUCAUGGUAGAAUUUGAGUUCACUUGAGCAGUAAAGAAACCACUGAGAAAUUAACGAAGAAGCACAUACUCUUUAGACAUUCGACCGUUAAUCUAAACUCGUUAAAUUAUUUCAAAUAAAUACUAUUCAAAUUGUAGGUUUCAGUAAUCAAAACAAAUUUCAAACGAACGAAACAUUUGUGUGCAUACUUGUUUGUAUUCUACAGCUACACGCAAAAGUGUCCAAUCAAUGAUAAUUUUAGGAUUUUGUAACAUAUUACCGAGGCAAAGCCGAUAUUCAAAUGUACGGUCGUAAAGUAUUCGUGCAUUAUUUAUGCGCGACAAGCACGAUUUUCGCCUACUUUUUGCCAUAAAAAGUCGUGCCGCUUGGCUUGGUUCCGUUUCAAUCAACAGGUGGGCUUGUACGACUUGACCAGGAGAAGAAACUUGUAGGCUUUCCGAUAUUAUACAAAACUAGUUGCAUUCACUAGGUGGCCACCAAUUUUUUUUUCGCAACAAUCAAAUAGGACAGUUUGAAAGCGGCACUCGAAGCUACUGCUCACCACUCCUAAUAGCAUUACCUCUUCAUUACUUACAAUUAUUCUGUAUCUUUCAAUACCAAUUGAAAGAGAGGCAAUUGUUAAAAUCUAUUAGUGCCAAUUGUCGUAAAACGUCGUGCUAUAAUUGACGAGUGUAUUGUUAUAGUUUUUACAAAUGGAUCUUGUAAGAAUCCGCUCAACGAUUUCUUACCGGUGCUUAUUAUUAUUGGAUAUUAAUUACUUCAUAGAGUAUGCCGUGCAAUGUGUGAACAAAUAAAUUCAAUGAUGCGGUUUUUGUCGAUGAGCCAAAUUGAAAAAAAGAGCAAGAUGCCAACUAUUUACUAAAUAGCCGCUUAGCAUUAUGUAUUUAGAAGGCACGCCCCGAAAGGUGAAAGAGCCUUGAAACCCAAGCCCAAGCGGUAGCAAGUUCAGUUGUCAUCAUCGUCAUGCCGUUCAAUUUGCAUAGGAACAAGAUCAUCGUCGGUUAAUAAUUUCAAGAGCACUAGACAUUUGAAAAGAGAGAAUAGUUUAUAGGAGAAUAGAAAAGAUUCACCGAGCGAGAAGAGUAACAAGCUAGUAGUUCUGACCACCAAUGACAGAUUUUCAAAUUAUCGCAUGAGUAUAAAGUCAAACAUACAUGCGCCAACUCUUUCAGAUAUCAUAAUUAGUAUCAUAAUCUAGUAUCAUAAUUAUUAUAGUAAUUAGUACAUCAAUAACUGCGCGAUCAGAAAAUCUCGAAGCAUGCAGAGCAAACUAUACGACCAACUUGACGAACCAAUAAAUUUACCAGCAUUCAAAAUGAAAUACAAUUAGCCGUAUGGUCAUAGCCAACGAGGCAAUGUUAAAGAAAAGACGAUAAAUUAUGCUAAAAAAGAGGCUAUGCUCGUGACGAUCCCAGAACCCGCGCCAUAUCAUUACUACAGGGUAUUCGGAGAAUUCUCCGAGAGAAUUGAAAUCGAGAAGUACAGAAAUCACGUUGCAUCUGUCGAAGUGGCAGAACUCAAGCAGCUUCAUCCUGAAGGUCCGAUAUAAUUCCUCAAAUAAAAUAUUUUUGUGUUUUAACAAGACCUGAGGACCACUGUGUAAAGUAAGACUGUCAAAUAAAAAUCUCGUAUGGCAUUUACGCCCGAGCGAAACGGCAAAGAAUCUACUUUCCCGCACUUGCAUUGCAAUGUACUAAUAUGUAAUUACUACUUUGUAAAUGAAGUUUG